rnacentral:misc_RNA from 1 species
GAUUUGCGGUACAGCACAGCAGCGACGGCUCUUGAGAGCUCAAGGGUUGGCAAAGAAAAUAAUUGAUGCUGUAUUGGGUCUCAGCUUUGAUGACUCCUCCAGCAAUCUGGCUGCUGCAACUCUUUUCUAUGUUUUGACGAGUGAUGGUCAAGAUGAUCACCUUUUGGAAUCACCAGGAUGCAUUCAUUUUCUAAUUAACUUGUUGAAACCAGUUAUUUCUACUGCUGCUGAAGACAAAACCCGAAAUAUUGGCAAUAAACUUUUAGCAUUACGCAAAGAUUCUGAUAUCUUAAGAGAUACAACGAAACUGGCAGAUUCUCGCUCUGCUGACAUUGUUGGCAAAGUUAAGGGAAUUCUUGUUAACUCUAAGGACAUGAAGUCAUACG